rnacentral:rRNA from 1 species
GGUUAAGCGACUAAGCGUACACGGUGGAUGCCCUGGCAGUCAGAGGCGAUGAAGGACGUGCUAAUCUGCGAUAAGCGUCGGUAAGGUGAUAUGAACCGUUAUAACCGGCGAUUUCCGAAUGGGGAAACCCAGUGUGUUUCGACACACUAUCAUUAACUGAAUCCAUAGGUUAAUGAGGCGAACCGGGGGAACUGAAACAUCUAAGUACCCCGAGGAAAAGAAAUCAACCGAGAUUCCCCCAGUAGCGGCGAGCGAACGGGGAGCAGCCCAGAGCCUGAAUCAGUAUGUGUGUUAGUGGAAGCGUCUGGAAAGGCGCGCGAUACAGGGUGACAGCCCCGUACACAAAAAUGCACAUAUUGUGAGCUCGAUGAGUAGGGCGGGACACGUGGUAUCCUGUCUGAAUAUGGGGGGACCAUCCUCCAAGGCUAAAUACUCCUGACUGACCGAUAGUGAACCAGUACCGUGAGGGAAAGGCGAAAAGAACCCCGGCGAGGGGAGUGAAAAAGAACCUGAAACCGUGUACGUACAAGCAGUGGGAGCACGCUUAGGCGUGUGACUGCGUACCUUUUGUAUAAUGGGUCAGCGACUUAUAUUCUGUAGCAAGGUUAACCGAAUAGGGGAGCCGAAGGGAAACCGAGUCUUAACUGGGCGUUAAGUUGCAGGGUAUAGACCCGAAACCCGGUGAUCUAGCCAUGGGCAGGUUGAAGGUUGGGUAACACUAACUGGAGGACCGAACCGACUAAUGUUGAAAAAUUAGCGGAUGACUUGUGGCUGGGGGUGAAAGGCCAAUCAAACCGGGAGAUAGCUGGUUCUCCCCGAAAGCUAUUUAGGUAGCGCCUCGUGAAUUCAUCUCCGGGGGUAGAGCACUGUUUCGGCAAGGGGGUCAUCCCGACUUACCAACCCGAUGCAAACUGCGAAUACCGGAGAAUGUUAUCACGGGAGACACACGGCGGGUGCUAACGUCCGUCGUGAAGAGGGAAACAACCCAGACCGCCAGCUAAGGUCCCAAAGUCAUGGUUAAGUGGGAAACGAUGUGGGAAGGCCCAGACAGCCAGGAUGUUGGCUUAGAAGCAGCCAUCAUUUAAAGAAAGCGUAAUAGCUCACUGGUCGAGUCGGCCUGCGCGGAAGAUGUAACGGGGCUAAACCAUGCACCGAAGCUGCGGCAGCGACGCUGAUGCGUUGUUGGGUAGGGGAGCGUUCUGUAAGCCUGCGAAGGUGUGCUGUGAGGCAUGCUGGAGGUAUCAGAAGUGCGAAUGCUGACAUAAGUAACGAUAAAGCGGGUGAAAAGCCCGCUCGCCGGAAGACCAAGGGUUCCUGUCCAACGUUAAUCGGGGCAGGGUGAGUCGACCCCUAAGGCGAGGCCGAAAGGCGUAGUCGAUGGGAAACAGGUUAAUAUUCCUGUACUUGGUGUUACUGCGAAGGGGGGACGGAGAAGGCUAUGUUGGCCGGGCGACGGUUGUCCCGGUUUAAGCGUGUAGGCUGGUUUUCCAGGCAAAUCCGGAAAAUCAAGGCUGAGGCGUGAUGACGAGGCACUACGGUGCUGAAGCAACAAAUGCCCUGCUUCCAGGAAAAGCCUCUAAGCAUCAGGUAACAUCAAAUCGUACCCCAAACCGACACAGGUGGUCAGGUAGAGAAUACCAAGGCGCUUGAGAGAACUCGGGUGAAGGAACUAGGCAAAAUGGUGCCGUAACUUCGGGAGAAGGCACGCUGAUAUGUAGGUGAAGUCCCUCGCGGAUGGAGCUGAAAUCAGUCGAAGAUACCAGCUGGCUGCAACUGUUUAUUAAAAACACAGCACUGUGCAAACACGAAAGUGGACGUAUACGGUGUGACGCCUGCCCGGUGCCGGAAGGUUAAUUGAUGGGGUUAGCCGCAAGGCGAAGCUCUUGAUCGAAGCCCCGGUAAACGGCGGCCGUAACUAUAACGGUCCUAAGGUAGCGAAAUUCCUUGUCGGGUAAGUUCCGACCUGCACGAAUGGCGUAAUGAUGGCCAGGCUGUCUCCACCCGAGACUCAGUGAAAUUGAACUCGCUGUGAAGAUGCAGUGUACCCGCGGCAAGACGGAAAGACCCCGUGAACCUUUACUAUAGCUUGACACUGAACAUUGAGCCUUGAUGUGUAGGAUAGGUGGGAGGCUUUGAAGUGUGGACGCCAGUCUGCAUGGAGCCGACCUUGAAAUACCACCCUUUAAUGUUUGAUGUUCUAACGUUGACCCGUAAUCCGGGUUGCGGACAGUGUCUGGUGGGUAGUUUGACUGGGGCGGUCUCCUCCUAAAGAGUAACGGAGGAGCACGAAGGUUGGCUAAUCCUGGUCGGACAUCAGGAGGUUAGUGCAAUGGCAUAAGCCAGCUUGACUGCGAGCGUGACGGCGCGAGCAGGUGCGAAAGCAGGUCAUAGUGAUCCGGUGGUUCUGAAUGGAAGGGCCAUCGCUCAACGGAUAAAAGGUACUCCGGGGAUAACAGGCUGAUACCGCCCAAGAGUUCAUAUCGACGGCGGUGUUUGGCACCUCGAUGUCGGCUCAUCACAUCCUGGGGCUGAAGUAGGUCCCAAGGGUAUGGCUGUUCGCCAUUUAAAGUGGUACGCGAGCUGGGUUUAGAACGUCGUGAGACAGUUCGGUCCCUAUCUGCCGUGGGCGCUGGAGAACUGAGGGGGGCUGCUCCUAGUACGAGAGGACCGGAGUGGACGCAUCACUGGUGUUCGGGUUGUCAUGCCAAUGGCACUGCCCGGUAGCUAAAUGCGGAAGAGAUAAGUGCUGAAAGCAUCUAAGCACGAAACUUGCCCCGAGAUGAGUUCUCCCUGACUCCUUGAGAGUCCUGAAGGAACGUUGAAGACGACGACGUUGAUAGGCCGGGUGUGUAAGCGCAGCGAUGCGUUGAGCUAACCGGUACUAAUGAACCGUGAGGCUUAACCUU